rnacentral:rRNA from 1 species
UGGAAGUAAAAGUCGUAACAAGGUCUCCGUUGGUGAACCAGCGGAGGGAUCAUUAUAGAGUGUAAACUCCCUAACCUUUGUGAACAUACCUGUUGCUUCGGCGGUCCUCACCGGCCGCCGAAGGCCUAUAUUCUUGAAUUUACAUGAAUUUCUGAGUAUCAAACAAAAAUAAAUAAAAACUUUCAGCAACGGAUCUCUUGGCUCUGGCAUCGAUGAAGAACGCAGCGAAAUGCGAUAAGUAAUGUGAAUUGCAGAAUUCAGUGAAUCAUCGAAUCUUUGAACGCACAUUGCGCCCACCAGUACUCUGGUGGGCAUGCCUGUCCGAGCGUCAUUUCAACCCUCAGGGCCCGUUCGCGGGACCUGGUGUUGGGGAUCGGCCCCACCGGCCGGCCCCGAAAUACAGUGGCGGCACACCCGCGACCUCCUCUGCGUAGUAGCAAUGCCUCGCAGCUGGAUAGCGGUUGCGCCUCGCCGUAAAACCCCCCACUUAUCAAUGGUUGACCUCGGAUCAGGUAGGAAUACCCGCUGAACUUAAGCAUAUCAAUAAGCGGAGGAA